ACAUGCAGAGAACUUUCCAGAGAUGGAUUGGUGGCCUUCGGGAACGUCUGACACAGGUGCUGCAUGGCUGUCGUCAGCUCGUGUCGUGAGAUGUUGGGUUAAGUCCCGUAACGAGCGCAACCCUUGUCCUUAGUUACCAGCACGUUAUGGUGGGCACUCUAAGGAGACUGCCGGUGACAAACCGGAGGAAGGUGGGGAUGACGUCAAGUCGUCAUGGCCCUUACGGCCUGGGCUACACACGUGCUACAAUGGUCGGUACAAAGGGUUGCCAAGCCGCGAGGUGGAGCUAAUACCCAUAAAACCGAUCGUAGUCCGGAUCGCAGUCUGCAACUCGACUGCGUGAAGUCGGAAUCGCUAGUAAUCGUGAAUCAGAAUGUCACGGUGAAUACGUUCCCGGGCCUU
rnacentral:rRNA from 1 species